rnacentral:rRNA from 1 species
AGCGAACGCUGGCGGCAGGCCUAAUACAUGCAAGUCGAACGGUCUCUUCGGAGGCAGUGGCGGACGGGUGAGUAACGCGUGGGGACGUGCCCUUUGGUACGGAACAACUGAGGGAAACUUCAGCUAAUACCGUAUGUGCCCUUCGGGGGAAAGAUUUAUCGCCAUUGGAGCGGCCCGCGUUGGAUUAGCUAGUUGGUGGGGUAAUGGCCCACCAAGGCGACGAUCCAUAGCUGGUCUGAGAGGAUGAUCAGCCACACUGGGACUGAGACACGGCCCAGACUCCUACGGGAGGCAGCAGUAGGGAAUCUUGCGCAAUGGGCGAAAGCCUGACGCAGCCAUGCCGCGUGAAUGAUGAAGGUCUUAGGAUUGUAAAAUUCUUUCACCGGGGACGAUAAUGACGGUACCCGGAGAAGAAGCCCCGGCUAACUUCGUGCCAGCAGCCGCGGUAAU